AUAAAUCAUGUAGUUAAGACUUA
rnacentral:siRNA from 1 species